rnacentral:lncRNA from 1 species
ACCCGACGAAUACACCAUAAUUCGUCAGCUAAAACCAUCUUAGCCGACGAAUUAUAGUGUAUUUCGUAGGCGAAAACCAUCUUAGCCGACGAAUAACCUAAUAUUUCGUCGGCUUUAGUUAUUUUUUAAUUUUUUAAUUACAUACUAUAGCCGACGAAUACGUUAGGGUAUUCGUCGGCUAAACCCUAAAAUUUUUCUAUUACAUACUAUAGCCCUAUCUUCGGUGGUUAUUUUCCGUAAAAUUUUUAGACGACUUCUUGCGUCUCAUCGGUUUGAAACUAUUUUCAGUUGAAGGUCCGGCCAAAAUACGUAAUUUAGACGGUCGAACGAUCUUUUCCGUACGUUUAGGGGUUUGAAUUACAAGAUUGACCGUCCGGAUUGAGCCCUUAUUCUUGUCGGAUCAACUUGAAUUUUUUCCCAUACAUGUAUUUUGUCAUGAUGGUCAGAUCUAACGGUCGGAUUUCUGUUUCUCAAGUUUGAUCAUCACAAUCACAACAUGCCUACUAAUGUUGUAUAACUUGUUUACCAAGUGUUAUGUAAAUGUUCCGUUUCAAAAAUAAACUAUACGUAAAACCUUCAAACGCCAAAAAGUCAUGAAAUAAGAUAUGACGAGAAUGUUGAAAUACAUCCACGGUUGAAAAAUCACACUAUUUCGGUAAAUAUUCGGUGCUGAUAGUUGCGGUCAAUGCAAUUUUUCAUUCUUUUCCCCUAUGAGUAGCCCUAUAUUCGGUGGUUAUUUUGCAUAAAAUUUUUAUACGACUUGUUGCGUGUCAUCGAUUUAAAACUAUUUUCAAUUGAAAGUCCGGCCAAAAUACGUAAUUUAGACGGUCGAACGACCUUUUCCGUGCGUUUAGGGGUUUGACUUACGAGAUUGACCGUCCGGAUCGAGCCCUUAUUCUUGUCGGAUCAAGUUGAAUUUUUGGCCAUACAUGUAUUUUGUCAUGGUGGUCAGAUCUGACGGUCGGAUUUCUGUUUCUCAAGUUUGAUCAUCACAAUCACAAUGUGCCAAAUGUAUAAAAAUACUUUAUCCGACGAAUUUCAAAGGUUAGCCGACGAAUUUCGAAGGUUUAGCCGACGAAUUUCGAAGGUUUAGCCGACGAAUUUCAAAGUUUUAGCCGACGAAUUUAGAAGGUUUAGCCGACGAAUUGAUUCUUAGCCGACGAGAUUCUUAGCUUUAGCCGACGAAAUAAUUAUUUCGUCGGCUAAAGUUGUCAGGUUUAACUUGCGCUCGACAGCAGAUAAACCCUAGCCUCCUCUUUCGCCUCCUCCGCCUCCUCCCUCCUCCCUCCCUCCCUCUCCCGGUCUCAGCCUCCUCCCUCCNNN